rnacentral:rRNA from 2 species
ACUCCUACGGGUGGCUGCAGUAAGGGAUAUUGCACAAUGGACGGAAGUCUGAUGCAGCGACGCCGCGUGGGUGAAGAAGGUUUUCGGAUCGUAAAGCCCUUUUCUAUGUGACGAGAGAGGACGGUAGCAUAGGAAUAAGUGUCGGCUAACUACGUGCCAGCAGCCGCGGUAAAACGUAGGACACGAACGUUAUCCGGAGUUACUGGGCGUAAAGCGCGCGCAGGCGGUGAGAUAAGUUACCUAUGAAAGAUACUGGCUAAACUGGUAUAUGUUAGGUGAAACUGUCUGACUAGAGCGAAAUAGAGGGAAGUAGAAUUCCGGGUGUAGUGGUGAAAUGCGUAGAUAUCCGGAGGAAUACCGGUGGCGAAGGCGGCUUCCUGGAUUUCCACUGACGCUGAGGCGCGAAAGCGUGGGUAGCGAACGGGAUUAGAAACCCCGGUAGUCCACGCCGUAAACGAUGUACAUUAGGUGUUCGGCAACGAUGGUUGUUGAGUGUCGCAGCAAACGCGAUAAAUGUACCGCCUGGGGAGUACGGUCGCAAGGCUAAAACUCAAAGGAAUUGACGGGGGCCCGCACAAGCAGCGGAGCGUGUGGUUUAAUUCGAGGCUACGCGAAGAACCUUACCUGGGAGUGACAUGUUGGUAGUACGGAAGCGAAAGCGGAAGGACCCUUCGGGGAGCCAGCACAGGUGCUGCAUGGUUGUCGUCAGCUCGUGUCGUGAGAU